UUCACAUGUCUGAUCUAAGGCCCCUUCGCGCAUAUGCAGAACAAUGCACUUUCAAUCCACUUUCACAACUGUUUGCAAGUGGAUUUUGCUAAUCCUCCAGCUGCAAAGUGGAUUGAAAGUGGAUUGAAAGUACAUUAUUUUGCAUGUGCAG